ACUUUAAGCGAGGAGGAGGCUCCUUUAGUUAAUACCUAAAGUGAGUGGACGUUACUCGCAGAAUAAGCACCGGCUAACUCUGUGCCAGCAGCCGCGGUAAUACAGAGGGUGCGAGCGUUAAUCGGAUUUACUGGGCGUAAAGCGUGCGUAGGCGGCUUUUUAAGUCGGAUGUGAAAUCCCUGAGCUUAACUUAGGAAUUGCAUUCGAUACUGGAGAGCUAGAGUAUGGGAGAGGAUGGUAGAAUUCCAGGUGUAGCGGUGAAAUGCGUAGAGAUCUGGAGGAAUACCGAUGGCGAAGGCAGCCAUCUGGCCUAAUACUGACGCUGAGGUACGAAAGCAUGGGGAGCAAACAGGAUUAGAUACCCUGGUAGUCCAUGCCGUAAACGAUGUCUACUAGCCGUUGGGGCCUUUGAGGCUUUAGUGGCGC
rnacentral:rRNA from 1 species